rnacentral:rRNA from 1 species
GACGAACGCUGGCGGCGUGCCUAAUACAUGCAAGUAGGACGCAGUUGCGAACGGGUGAGUAACGCGUAGGUAACUACCUAUUAGAGGGGGAUAACUAUUGGAAACGAUAGCUAAUACCGCAUACUAGUAGAUGGACCUGCGUUGUAUUAGCUAGUAGGUAGGGUAAUGGCCUACCUAGGCAACGAUACAUAGCCGAGCUGGGAGUGUGAGCCGCCACAACGGGAGUGAGAAACGGGCCACGCUCCUACGGGAGGGCGCAGUAGGGAAACUUCGGCAAUGGGGGGAAACCUUGCUGAGCAACGCCGGGGGAGUGAAGGAGGUUUUCGGAUCUUAAAGCUCUUUUGUUAAGGGAGCGGUACUUAACCAGAAAGGGACGGCUAACUACGUGCCAGCAGCCGCGGUAAUAC